AUGGCCUGGGCCCCUCUCCUCCUCGCGGUGCUCACCCACAGCUCAGGUUCCCUGGUCCAGGCAGCGGUGACUCAGCCGGCCUCGGUGUCAGCGAAGCUGGGACAAACCGUCCAGAUCACCUGCUCCGGGCUUUACAGCAGCAGCUAUGUUGGCUGGUACCAGCAGAAGGUUCCUGGCACUGCCCCUGUCACUGUGAUCUACAACAGCAACAAGAGACCCUCGGACAUCCCUUCGCGAUUCUCCGGAUCCUCGUCCGGCUCCACAGCCACGUUAACCAUCACUGGGGUCCAAGCCGAGGACGAGGCUGUCUAUUACUGUGGUGGCUCCGACAGCAGCAGCUAUACUAGUGCCACAGUGACACGGAGCAAUGGGGAAGUGAUACAAAAACCUCCCGCCAUCGCAGGCACCAGUUAG